AUGGUCAUUGGUCAUUCAUGUAUUGUCAUUAAUAACUGGUUCAUGGUCAUUGGUCAUUCAUGUAUAGUCAUUAAUAACUGCUUCAUGGUCAUUGGUCAUUCAUGUAUAGUCAUUAAUAACUGCUUCAUGGUCAUUGGUCAUUCAUGUAUAGUCAUUAAUAACUGCUUCAUGGUCAUUGGUCAUUUAUGUUUUGUCAUUAAUAACUGGUUCAUGGUCAUUGGUCAUUCAUGUACAGUCAUUAAUAACUGCUUCAUGGUCAUUGGUCAUUUAUGUUUUGUCAUUAAUAACUGCUUCAUGGUCAUUGGACAUUUAUGUUUUGUUAUUAAUAACUGCUUCAUGGUCAUUGGACAUGUAUGUUUUGUCAUUAAUAACUGCUUCAUGGCCAUUGGACAUUUAUGUUUUGUCAUUAAUAACUGCUUCAUGGUCAUUGGUCAUUCAUGUAUAGUCAUUAAUAACUGCUUCAUGGUCAUUGGACAUUUAUGUUUUGUCAUUAAUAACUGCUUCAUGGUCAUUGGUCAUUCAUGUAUAGUCAUUAAUAACUGCUUCAUGGUCAUUGGACAUUUAUGUUUUGUCAUUAAUAACUGCUUCAUGGCCAUUGGACAUUUAUGUUUUGUCAUUAAUAACUGCUUCAUGGUCAUUGGUCAUUCAUGUUUUGUCAUUAAUAACUGCUUCAUGGUCAUUGGUCAUUCAUGUUUUGUCAUUAAUAACUGCUUCAUGGUCAUUGGUCAUUCAUGUAUAGUCAUUAAUAACUGCUUCAUGGUCAUUGGACAUUUAUGUUUUGUCAUUAAUAACUGCUUCAUGGUCAUUGGUCAUUCAUGUAUAGUCAUUAAUAACUGCUUCAUGGUCAUUGGACAUUUAUGUUUUGUCAUUAAUAACUGCUUCAUGGCCAUUGGACAUUUAUGUUUUGUCAUUAAUAACUGGUUCAUGGUCAUUGGUCAUUCAUGUAUAGUCAUUAAUAACUGGUUCAUGGUCAUUGGUCAUUCAUGUAUAGUCAUUAAUAACUGGUUCAUGGUCAUUGGACAUGUUGUAUGUAUGUUUAGUCAUUCACUGCAGUACACAGUAGUCACACCCUUUUUCAGUUCCUCUUAG
ensembl:lncRNA